rfam:Capsicum annuum cultivar Zunla-1 unplaced genomic scaffold scaffold1110, whole genome shotgun sequence
AUACUUACUCGAACAAGGUCAAUGGGCGAUUAAUAAGACUCAUGGCCUAGGCUUUUUACAUCCAUUUCACUUUGGAGUAGUUCCUGCCUAAAGUCGGCCCAAGUAGUCGAUACUAUGUAAUAGUUUAUUGCAGUGGAAGCCUUCUUUCAUGCAGCCCCUAC